GUUGGUUCUACCCGAAGGCGYUGCGCYAACCGCAAGGRGGCAGGCGACCACGGUAGGRUCAGCGACUGGGGUGAAGUCGUAACAAGGUAGCCGUAGGUGAACCUGCAGAAGGAUCA
rnacentral:rRNA from 1 species